GUGAACGCGGGCGCUCUUGUUUGGGAGCGCGGCCGGCGCGCCCGUUUUGAAGCUGUCCUGAGCAGCGCGGGCCGGACCGCGCCCCCUGCUUGGUCCCCGCGCCCCGCGAGUCCGCGCAGUUCCCAAGGCGCGGGCCCUGCUCCCUGCGCCUCGCCCCCUCAGCGGGCCGUGCUCGCAUCACCGAGGUCGGUCCGCGCCGGACCGAAGCCCCCGGGGCGGGGCGGGGCGGGGCGCGGGCGUCCGUAGGCGCCCCGGGCUCAGCCCCCGCCAUGCCUCCCGGCAAGGUACUGCAGCCGGUCCUGAAGAUGAAGGUGGAUGAGCUGUUCCUGUACUGGCUCAGCGAGGCCAGCACGCAGCGGAUGCUGCAGGACUGCCUGCGCCGGAUCAAGGCGCCCGGGCGGGACCAGCCGACCGCGGGGGACGGGGAGCUGCCCGGGGCCUGGCCAGCAGCCACGCUCGCCGCCCCCAGGCCCAGCGGGCUCGAACCCCCGGGAACCCCCGGUCCGGGCCCUGCGCUGCCCCUGGGCGCCGCCUCCAGCCCCAGGAACGCGCCCCACGCUCGAGGCACCCGUAGAUCCGCAGGGACGAGAGUAGCGGUGUUUUAACAUCACGGGAUGAGAUCAAAUGUCCACCUCGCAGGUUGUGUAGAGAUGCAAGCAGGAGACCCUUGAGUUCAGACGCGGAAAGAAGAGCCUCUGUCCCCAGCCACGAGCCAAAGCAUUCCGACCUUCUACUUCCCCAGAGGACGCCCGCAGGACUCCGUCAAUGUGGAUGCCGUCAUCAGCAAGAUCGAGAGCACCUUCGCCCAGUUCCCCCACGAGAGGGCCACCAUGGACGACAUGGGCCUGGUGGCCAAGGCCUGCGGCUGCCCCCUCUACUGGAAGGGGCCGCUCUUCUAUGGCGCCGGCGGGGAGCGCACGGGCUCCGUGUCCGUCCACAAGUUCGUCGCCAUGUGGAGAAAAAUCCUCCAGAACUGCCACGACGACGCGGCCAAGUUCCUCCAUCUGCUCAUGAGCCCCGGCUGCAACUACCUGGUGCAGGAGGACUUUGUCCCCUUCUUGCAGGACGUGGUGAACACGCACCCGGGGCUGUCGUUCCUGAAGGAGGCGUCCGAGUUCCACUCGCGCUACAUCACCACGGUCAUCCAGCGGAUCUUCUACGCCGUGAACCGGUCCUGGUCCGGCAGGAUCACCUGCGCCGAGCUGCGGAGGAGCUCCUUCCUGCAGAACGUGGCGCUGCUGGAGGAGGAGGCCGACAUCAACCAGCUGACCGAAUUCUUCUCCUACGAGCACUUCUACGUCAUCUACUGCAAGUUCUGGGAGCUGGACACGGACCACGACCUGCUCAUCGACGCGGACGACCUGGCGCGGCACAAUGACCACGGUGCGCAGGGCAGAGGGGCGGGCGGGGCGCGGGGACACCGAGCGCACCCUUCUCUCAGGGCCUCUUGGGUCUGCAGCUGCCUCUCCUUCCCCGGUCGCUGCCCCGUGUCUGGGUCCCCGAGUGCGCUUCUGCUGAGGCCUCUGCCUGCGGGCGUCCACAGGGUCAGUGUGGGCCGCUGGUCCUGAAGCUCCCACAGCUGCACCCGGCCCCAGGGCCAGCAGCGCUGUGGGGCUUCGCUGUUAACACCCGAGCAAGGGCGUGCAGACCAGACGCCUUCCCUCAGGGGCUCCAGGUUCCAGCCCCCAAGGCCUGGAGCAGUUUCCAUCCAAUCCCGGGCUAGGUGGAGCCCCAGGCUUACAGGUCGUUCCAAUACCUGCCCGGGAGCUGGUGCCGCCCAGGUGUCCUCACAGCAGCCACUGCCUCCCGGCUCCUCUAAGAGUCAUCAACACUUCCGGGAACUCAAACCGGCCUGUGGCCUGUGGGGCUUCAGUUUUCUAAAGGAUCCCUUUAAGUGUGCUUUUCCCCCCAAGAAAACCGUAUGACCAAGAGGAUUUCCG
rnacentral:sRNA from 1 species